GACGAACGCUGGCGGCGUGCUUAACGCAUGCAAGUCGAACGGAAAGGCCCUGCUUUUGUGGGGUGCUCGAGUGGCGAACGGGUGAGUAACACGUGAGUAACCUGCCCUUGACUUUGGGAUAACUUCAGGAAACUGGGGCUAAUACCGGAUAGGAGCUCCUGCUGCAUGGUGGGGGUUGGAAAGUUUCGGCGGUUGGGGAUGGACUCGCGGCUUAUCAGCUUGUUGGUGGGGUAGUGGCUUACCAAGGCUUUGACGGGUAGCCGGCCUGAGAGGGUGACCGGCCACAUUGGGACUGAGAUACGGCCCAGCCUCCUACGGGAGGCAGCAGUGGGGAAUAUUGCACAAUGGGCGGAAGCCUGAUGCAGCAACGCCGCGUGCGGGAUGACGGCCUUCGGGUUGUAAACCGCUUUCGCCUGUGACGAAGCGUGAGUGACGGUAAUGGGUAAAGAAGCACCGGCUAACUACGUG
rnacentral:rRNA from 1 species